ensembl:misc_RNA Metazoa_SRP Metazoan signal recognition particle RNA
GCCAGGCAUGGUGGCGGGCGCCUGUAAUCCCAGCUACUCAGGGGGCUGAGGCAGGAGAAUUGCUUGAGCCCGGGAGGCUGAGGUUGCAGUGAGCCGAGAUCGUGCCACUGCACUAUAGCCUGGGCAACAGAGCGAGAUUCCGUCUCAA